rnacentral:lncRNA from 1 species
CUGGUGAUUCUGAUUAAGCCGUUUUAGAGCGGAGCCCCUGAAUCUCCUUGACUCCAUCCUACCCGGAAGAGCAGAUAUCCCGUAAGUGCCAAGUUUCUUCCGCUGUCUGCAGCUGACCGUGAUGUCUUCUAGCUGGCAGCCCACCCUCUCCCACAGACCCCCAGCCAAAUCCCCAAGGUGCACCUGAGGGACUCUGCCUGCAGGUGUGGCCCAGAAGCGUGCAGGACACAUCACCACGCCCCAGAUCUGAAGGAUGGGCGCUCACAGCUCUGGACUUGCCGGCCUUGGUGAUUAGCAGCGAGGAUGCUGAUACCAGAUUUAUAAAGUCAGCGUUUGCUGAGUGGUCUAUUGUGAUGGGCUCAAAAUAGCCUUCCGCCUCUGUGCCGGGCCUCAGUGUCACCCGAGUUCCAGGAUGGCAGAAGCCAAGGACUCUGCCAUACCAUCUUUUUUGGCUUCCAGUUUCUCUGCUGCCAAGAAACGUGAAUUGGAGAUUGUAAAAUGAAGAUGUGCUGAUGUGCCACUCCCAACAAUGACAGUGGACCUGCCGUCUUGCUCCCAGCUCCCCGUCUAUACUUCCAUCUUCUCUGUUGGAAGUGUAUUUCAGAAUCUGUGCACAGCUCCUUUAAGAAUGAGAAGAAGACAGCAGAGGAGCAAGUGUGGCCAAAGGGCUGUUAGCUGGACCAUCUCCUUCUGCGGCAUCUGGUCUGAGCUCCCCUCCGCCUGUGGGACCCACCUGUCACUCUCUGAGGAUUCUCUGAAGUCAGAUCCACCUUUAGGUUCUGCCCUUUUCCCUGAGCUCGUCCUUGGUCUUUGCUCUGUUGACUUGCGCCUCUUUGACCGCAGACACGUGCAGGCCUCUGCCCUGGCCCAUCUCUCCUGCAGUCCUGAUCUGGACAACUGUUGGCUCCACUCUGUCCCCUGCUUCUGUCUGAGCCAGUGCUUGUUAACAGGUCUUUCGUGUGGCUCCUUCUUUCAUAUUUUAUGGCACUCCUUUCCUGAACUUGGCACCAAGUCCCUCUGGAACUGUCCUGGGAGAUAAUACAAUGUCACUGCUAAGGGCAACAACCGAUUGUCCCUCUUCUUCAAUGAUCUACCAGUGUCCGCGAGCUGAACUCUCUCUCCGCUGGGGGAAGUCAAUGGAGGUCACUGCCCGAGAGAUUGAGGGUCAGUCUUUGUCUGCCUUCUUGACAGCUCCAAAAGUCUCAUGUUUCUGAUGAGAUCUGCUGAAGCUUUAUGGAGAGAAAAACCCAAGUGGUUCAAGCCGGCGUGCCUGGAUUCCCCUGGAAACAGCAGGAAUGCCCUUUCUGGGGGCUGUUAUUUGUUAAAAUCGGUUACAGUGCAUUCCAGGAGAGACGUUCCAAAAAAUGCAGGAGCAAUGACAGCCUUGCCGGAAUAGGAGCGAGAACAUGGAACGUGGAGUCAGUCAACCCAAGUUUCAAUGGGCAGAGGCAGCUCCUCACUUUCCAAAUGAACAACCUUGUGCAAGUCAUCAAAACUCCCC